rnacentral:lncRNA from 1 species
AACAAAAAGAAUUUUAGUCAAACUCGAUUAUCUCUUUGAAUCUUUAGAUACAGAGUAUGUCAAGAUAAGUAGUGUAAAAAUGAUGCAUCAGAAGCAAAACUAAUUUAAUAGUGUAUACACCAUUCAAAUUUACAAACCCCUCUAAAUUAUCGCUUGCCAUGCCAUUGCACCAUAAUAUGAGAGGGGAGUAUUCAAAGGCAUCUAGCUAACAACAAUAAUAAAUACAAUAGAAAAUCAUCGUUAUUACAAUAGAAAUGAGCCUUUUCUUUAGGUAAGGUUUUCCCAGACAUGCCGAACAAAUUGAGCUUCCAACACUUUGACUGACAGCACCUGUGACACAUUGUGAGUGAAAAACAUCAUCAAUCUGAAAGAAUUUGAACUAAGUAGAACUAUUGGUGGACAAGGGGACGUAGAGGAUAUCCUAGAAGCAGAAAGAUGGUAAGAUUGCUGCAGUAACACGUAGAAGGAAAUUAGACUAUGCCAUGGGAAAGAAUAUAUGUAGGAGCAUGAACUGAAGGAGGGAAGGAGGCAGGGAGAUUGUAGUAACGGAUCUCCACUAUGAGCCGCCAGACAGUGCACCUUGAUUGCGAUUAAUGGAUCCUAGCAAUGGCAACUUAAUUCAUCGCUUCAAAGUGGUGCUCACUCCGACCGGGGAGGAUCCAAUCAUACCUUUGAUGGAACUGCACAACCACAUCGCCCGUGUCGCCUCGUCUUGCCCGGGCAUCUUGCUCUCGCAAGAGUGAUCGCCCGCCUCACCCUGCUGAAUACCCUCGAGCACUUCGGUUGGAACAACUCAAAUUUAGAACAUCACAUUCUUAGAAAACAUCUACAAUGAUCUAACAUUGCUGGCUAAAUCUAACUGGAUAGUUCUAACACUAAAUUCUGUACUUCAAAAAUGCAUUGAAAUCUCAUGAACAAAUAGUUCAACAAAUAAAUUCUUAAAAUAGCAUACGAUCUCUUUGCAUCGAGCUGGAGAAUACAGGAGGCAAAAAGACAGGUGGGCACAGACCACAGAAGGAGCACAACAUAGAGAAGGAGAGGAAGAUGUCAAAUUGCCUCACCGCUUGGUUCCAUGGAGGUUCAUUGCCGACCUCGAUGGUCUCUGAUUUGGGUUGUGACAGUAUGCACGGGGGCUUUGGCUUCGGGCUGUGAGAGAUGAAGCCAGCGCCUCGCCCAGCCCUCCUCUAACACCGAUCGCCCGCGUCACCCGCAUCACUCGGAUGGAUCUCCUCGAGCGUGUCGGCUGAAUCCGAUUAGAAGACCUGUCGCUCGCGUCACCCUUGUUGGCUGGAUCCCCUCGCAGAUCGCCCGUGUCGCCCCACAUCAAGCGCGGCUGGAUCCCCUCCAGCAGCAUUGGCGUGGAGAAAGGGCAGCAAACUGGCGGCGGGGAUGGAGAUGGCCAGCGGGGCGGCGGCUUGAGUUCCCAUCGGGCGGCGCCCUGAGUGGUCCUUCUGGUGGGCUGGAUCUGGAUGGAGUGGGUGGGAGUUGACCUGCAGGCUCAUAGGGAUGGCGGCGUGGACUUGAGCAGCAGUCGUGAGUUACACCGGCGGCAGAGAGGCGACAGAACCAGGCUGAGGCGACCGAACCGUCAUGAC